rnacentral:tRNA from 1 species
GGAGCGGUAGUUCAGUUGGUUAGAAUACCGGCCUAGUCACGCCGGGGGUCGCGGGUUUCGAGUCCCGUCCGACUCCGCCA